ACGGGGAGCACCACAACAGGUGGAGCCUGGCGGUUUAAUCGGACUCAACGCCGGGAAACUCACCAGAUAAGACAGCUGAAUGAUAGUCGGGCUGAAGACUCUACUUGACUAGCUGAGAGGAGGUGCAUGGCCGUCGUCAGUUCGUACUGUGAAGCAUCCUGUUAAGUCAGGCAACGAGCGAGACCCACGCCAACAGUUGCCAGCUCGUCCUCCGGGAUGGUGGGGACACUGUUGGGACCGCCUCUGCUAAAGAGGAGGAAGGAAUGGGCAACGGUAGGUCAGCAUGCCCCGAAUUAUCUGGGCUACACGCGGGCUACAAUGGGUGGGACAAUGGGUAUCGACACCGAAAGGUGAAGGCAAUCUCCUAAACCCAUCCGUAGUUCGGAUUGUGGGCUGCAACUCGCCCACAUGAAGCUGGAAUCUGUAGUAAUCGUGUCUCAAAAUGGCACGGUGAAUAUGUCCCUGCUCCUU
rnacentral:rRNA from 1 species